rnacentral:tRNA from 1 species
GCGCGCUUAGCUCAGUGGUAGAGCAUAUCCUUCACACGGAUGGGGUCGGAGGUUCAAUCCCUUCAGCGCGUACCA